rnacentral:rRNA from 1 species
AUGAACGCUGGCGGCGUGCCUAAUACAUGCAAGUCGAGCGAACGGACGAGAAGCUUGCUUCUCUGAUGUUAGCGGCGGACGGGUGAGUAACACGUGGAUAACCUACCUAUAAGACUGGGAUAACUUCGGGAAACCGGAGCUAAUACCGGAUAAUAUUUUGAACCGCAUGGUUCAAAAGUGAAAGACGGUCUUGCUGUCACUUAUAGAUGGAUCCGCGCUGCAUUAGCUAGUUGGUAAGGUAACGGCUUACCAAGGCAACGAUGCAUAGCCGACCUGAGAGGGCGAUCGGCCACACUGGAACUGAGACACGGUCCAGACUCCUACGGGAGGCAGCAGUAGGGAAUCUUCCGCAAUGGGCGAAAGCCUGACGGAGCAACGCCGCGUGAGUGAUGAAGGUCUUCGGAUCGUAAAACUCUGUUAUUAGGGAAGAACAUAUGUGUAAGUAACUGUGCACAUCUUGACGGUACCUAAGCAGAAAGCCACGGCUAACUACGU